rnacentral:tRNA from 1 species
GGUGGUGUGGCUCAGUGGUAGAGCACUUGCCUAACAUUCAGAGGGCUCUAGGUUCAAUUCCAAGUACCACAU